GUCUCGGGUCCGGGGGCUGAGCGAGUCUGGCGCGGUGGCCUGUCCGGGCCGUGGGGAGGGCCCGAGCGGGAGGUGGGAGCUGUCGGCGGGGCUCCCGGAGGGGUCGCCCCGGGUGCCCUGCGUAGUCCCUGUGGGCCGGAGCCUGGGGCCCUGGAAGGCGUCGCGAGGGGUUGCGGCCGCGGCCUUUCCGGCCUUUCGGGCUCGCCCGCCUGACGGAGGGGCGGCGCAGGACGCGCCCCCACGCCGCGGAGACCCUGGGAACUCGCCGGAGCUGAGAGACGGUGGGUUGGGUGCGCCCGAAAGAGUGGAAAUGGAGGCCUGGGUGCUGUCCUUUGGGGUCCGAGUACUGGAGGAGGCUGUCCCUGGUCCCCAGGGCUGGUGGAUGCCGGAGUCCGCGGGGUUGGUGGGUCACCUUGGUGCAGAGCGUGGAGCGAGUUCAGAAGGGGAGCGUGACUCGCAGCGGCACCUCACCAGGUGUGCCCCCCAGUUCAGGUCGUGGGCCCAGGGCGCCAACACGAGAAUGCUCCCCGUUACCGGCGUCCUCCGGGUCCUCGGCUGCUCUAGCGCCACCCUGUCAGCCCUUAGGAUUUUCCUUCCGGGGUCCUUGUCCCGUCCACCAGGGAAUUGGUCUGCGGAGGGACGCAGGGUUCGCACUUCACCUCGAAAUGCGGAGCGAUUCCGUCUCGUCCGUGGCGUAGUCACGUUCGAGUCAGUGCCAGAGACUAUUCCCAUCCUUCAGACUUCCUCUGUCACUGUCUCCAGGUCAUUAAAGAGGGGGACAAAUUGCUGCCCCUAGCCACCUAGCCCUUGUUCUUUGCUUGCUUUCCGCCGCGGGGUUAGAAUGGCUCACCUUUGAUGAGUGCCUCUGUGCCAGACCUUGUUGAAGACCUCUGGGAGUGUUAACAGCAAAGGCACGACUUUAUAAAGUGGGGACCACCUGUCCUUACAGAUGAGGAUGAGAAGAUAAGUAAUCACUAAUAAGUUGAAGAACCAGGAUUCAGAUCCAGGACAGGCUGACUCCAGAGCCCCUUCUAGGAUUUUUUUUCUUUCCUCUGGGGUGCUGGGGUUUGAACCCAGGGCCUUGCAUAUGCUAGCACAGGCUCCUCCACUGAGCUCCACUCCCAGCCCUCCAGAGCCCCUUCUGUACUGUCCCUCAGUAACUGUCUGCAGUAGGUAUUCCCAGCCACUUUUGACAACUGCAGAAACAAUUGAGACUGGAAAUAAUUUUUAAGAGUUCAGAUCUUCAAACUUCCACUAAGUGAGUUUGGAGAUUUAUUAAACUUUAUGGUUCUAAGUAAGAGUUCAUUCUUAUUAUCAUCAUUAUAAUAUCCUUUUAGAAGGCAAUUAAAUUUUGGGGAAAGAAGCCAGAAUUCAUUUAGAUACUGUCCUCUUCCUGAUUAAAAGAAUGGCUAAGGUUAUCGAGGAACUUCAUCAAAGCUGCAGUUUGCCUCAAAAGCAAAACGAGAACUUAGGUCUCAUGACAGUUUUGUUGGAACAGUUUUCUGCACUCAAGGAUGUUUUGUCACAUCAAAGGUAAGGCCUCUCUCUGGGAACAGUGGCAUUCUCCAAGGGAUUCAUCAUGUAGAAUCUGGACAAAUCCUGGUUUCUUGCAAGAGGGCAUAUUUUCUGGUGUCAAGCAAUUAAUUUGUGUGGUAGAGUCAGGAAGACUUAGGUUGUUGACUGAUUCUUACUAAUUAUGAGCUGUGUAACUACAUAAAAGCUCUCACUUGCCCAGAGACUUCCUUUGUAAAAUGGUGACAAUAUCCUCUACUUUGAUGAUUGUGGAGAUUAAAAGAGAUGAUUAAUAUAUGUAGCAUACCUCAUAAAUCUCUGUUAGUGAAUAGGUGGCUGAGAGAGAGAGGCACGAAGAGGGACUGGCUGUGUUCAACCUGAAAACCCAGAGCAGAGGGGAACCCUAGUUGUAGGCUACAAAUUCCCCUGUGGGUAUCUGGUCUGUGGAGAUGGAGUGGGGAUGGGGGCAAAAGCAAAUGCGGCUGAAGGUAAGGGAAGGUUUCUACGCUGUGAUUCCUAGUGCUACUUGGUCUCUCACAACUCUCUCCUCUUUCAGCUCUGUGCUUGAGGCAAGGCCCUUUUCCAAAUAAAGAGCCAGCAAGAAGUGGAGGUGACAAGAACUGAACUUGUUAAAGCCAUGUGCCCGGUGAGUUAAUGUUCCCUUUCUCCCCACUAAAGUCUCACUUUUCCUGAUUUUGUUCAGUUUGCUUUUUUCUGAAACUUGUCUAUUUAAGAGUUCCAGGCAGGCAUGGUGGUGCAUACCUAUAAUCCCAGCAACUAGGAGGCUGAGGCAGGAGGAAUGCAAGUUCAAGAGCAGCUUGAGCAACUUAGUGAGGCCCUAUCAAAAACAAACAAACAAACAAACAAACAAAAAAAAAACAGUUUCACCUUGGGGCCUGUUUCCCAUUUCUUGCAUUUCUGGUGAAUGCUGAGACUUCAGGGGUAGACUCAAAGAGUCCAGUGGACUCUCAGAGGUUCUUCCUCUUCUUCCUCCUUGGUGUUUAUGUUUUCCAUUCAAGAAAUGACCAAGUGUAAGCCCUUUCUUUGUACUUAGUCUUUCUUUAGGCAUCCGACGAAGCAGAAGAACAGUCCUAAGGAAAUUUUUAAGAGCCACUGUGCCGGGCUCCUAAGUCUCUGUUGUGGCUCCCCAAGAACUUGUAGUUUCUUAGAGAAAUGGAAAGGCAGCAGACACAUAUGACGUGAUAAUGUUGUGGAGUGGUGGGAGGGCCGCUGAUACCCCCACGGUGCUUCCAGGGGGAAUGGGAGGAAAGGGGCCCCUUCCUGGACUGGUGAGGACCACACCCUCUGUCAAGAGGGCUCUUCUCACUCUAGCUCUUACCUCUGCAGAGGGAUCCUUGUGUGGGAUGUGACUUGCGGUCCUGCUCAUGCCCAGAGGGGAAGGGUUGGGAGUAUGUGGCAGAGGAAGGGUUCCUGAGUCUCAUCUUGAAGGCAGCAGAGGAGAUCUACAGUCACAGGUGGGAUGCAGGUUCCCCUCCCACCUGACUGUGCAGCCUGGGUCAUCUUAAAAUGCCAGGGAAAACUCUACAUCCUCCUUUCUCUCUAGGGUAAACACCACAAUCUAUAAUCAGCCAGUUGUUGUUCCAUUGGUAAAUUAUGGUCAGCGUUUUGCUGUUUAAUUGUGUUACAGUGAUUACUCUUGUGGUUGAAUUUUUGCUCUCAUUUCUGAU
rnacentral:lncRNA from 1 species